rnacentral:tRNA from 1 species
UGGGGCGUCGCCAAGUGGUUAAGGCAUCGGGCUUUGAACCCGACAUUCGCACGUUCGAAUCGUGCCGCCCCAG